rnacentral:rRNA from 1 species
AUAACGACUCUYGGCAAAGGAUAUCUCGGCUCACGCAUCGAUGAAGAACGUAGCAAAAUGCGAUACUUGGUGUGAAUUGCAGAAUCCCGUGAACCAUCGAGUUUUUGAACGCAAGUUGCGCCCGAAGCCAUCUGGUUGAGGGCACGUCUGCCUGGGCGUCACGC